CUUGGUCAUUUAGAGGAAGUAAAAGUCGUAACAAGGUUUCCGUAGGUGAACCUGCGGAAGGAUCAUUAUUGAAUAAACCUGAUGAGUUGCUGCUGGUUCUCUAGGGAGCAUGUGCACGCUUGUCAUCUUUAUAUCUCCACCUGUGCACCUUUUGUAGACCUGGAUAUCUUUCUGAAUGCCUAGCAUUUGGGUUUGAGGAUUGACUUUCUGUCUUUCCUUAAAUUUCCAGGCCUAUGUUUCUUCAUAUACCCCAAUGUAUGUUAUAGAAUGUAAUAAAUGGGCCUUUGUGCCUAUAAACCUAUACAACUUUCAGCAACGGAUCUCUUGGCUCUCGCAUCGAUGAAGAACGCAGCGAAAUGCGAUAAGUAAUGUGAAUUGCAGAAUUCAGUGAAUCAUCGAAUCUUUGAACGCACCUUGCGCUCCUUGGUAUUCCGAGGAGCAUGCCUGUUUGAGUGUCAUUAAUAUAUCAACCUCCUCAGCUUUUGCUUUUGAGUGUUGGAUGUGGGGGUAUCUUUGCUGGUCUCUUUUUGAGGUCGGCUCCCCUGAAAUGUAUUAGCGGAACAAUUUGUUGACCGUUCAUUGGUGUGAUAACUAUCUACGCUAUUGACGUGAAGCAGGUUCAGCUUCUAAUAGUCCAUUAGAUUGGACAAAUUUUCAUUAAUGUGACCUCAAAUCAGGUAGGACUACCCGCUGAACUUAAGCAUAUCAAUAAGCGGAGGA
rnacentral:rRNA from 1 species